GCACAUUUGCUGGCUUGUUCAUGAUUGAUUAUUAUUCUAUUAUUGAGUUCAAAUCCUUUUUAGGAACAGGCGGGUAAUUGGGUGUUCUUCCUUAAAUAGCGUUUAAUGUAACUCAUUUUGGCUUUCUUAUUGGCUACACCUUGACCUGAUUUAUUAGAGAUACUGUUGAGGAUAAGCUUUAUUGAGUUAUUCUUGAAACGGCGGUAUAUAGGCUAAAUGAUUAAAGAAAGUAAGAUUUUAGCGGGGAUUAUCGAUGAUAAAACAAGUUCCUCUGAUUAGAGCUAAUGCCGCCAAAUUACAUUGGUUUUCUUAGGGGGUACUACCUACGUGAAAGAGU
rnacentral:rRNA from 1 species